UGCGGUGGAUUCGGUGUUGGUACCGUCAGGUGGCUUUGAACCACCUUGUCGCAGGUUCGAUUCCUGUCGCCGCAA
rnacentral:tRNA from 1 species